rnacentral:tRNA from 1 species
GGAAGCGGAUCGGUCCUGGUGGGCCGCCUGGACUUCAAAUCCAGUCUGCGCGGCGGUGGUCCCGUCGUGGGUGAGUUCGAUUCUCACACGCUUCCGCCA